rnacentral:rRNA from 1 species
UCGGGAAUUUUGGGCAAUGGGCGAAAGCCUGACCCAGCAACGCCGCGUGAGGGAUGAAGUAUUUCGGUAUGUAAACCUCGAAAGAAUGGGAAGAAUAAAUGACGGUACUAUUUAUAAGCUCCGGCUAACUACGUGCCAGCAGCCGCGGUAAUACGUAGGGAGCAAGCGUUGUUCGGAUUUACUGGGCGUAAAGGGCGCGUAGGCGGCGCGGUAAGUCACUUGUGAAAUCUCUGAGCUUAACUCAGAACGGCCAAGUGAUACUGCAGUGCUAGAGUGCAGAAAGGGCAAUCGGAAUUCUUGGUGUAGCGGUGAAAUGCGUAGAUAUCAAGAGGAACACCUGAGGCGAAGGCGGGUUGCUAGGCUGACACUGACGCUGAGGCGCGAAAGCCAGGGGAGCAAACA